UAUAACAACACGUAAUCAACAACGUGCAUUCAUAUGCGUUGUGGAACAAUAUUUUUAACAACCCGUAGAAGCAGCACGUUGCAUUAUACAAUUUAUAACAACGUGCAUGUAUAGCGUGUUGUCAAAAUAUAGAGUAGAGCUAUUUUCACAACGCAGCCUUGCGUGUUGUAGUAGUUUUAAGUUCUACAACGCACGACGCAUGUUGUCAAAAUUAUAUUAAUUUUUUAAAUAAAAAAAUUGGUCGAAAAGGGAGCGAAAAUUUUUGCGGGAAAAGUCCCCCUUUCUCAAAACCUAAAACAUGUUCUUUUAUAUGGGUUUGGCCUAAAAAGUUUUCACAAGUUCCAACAAGUCUCUCUCAUCCAUUCACCUUCCCCUUCCUCUUCUAUUCUCUUGUUUUUUUUAACGAACCCCUUCCUCUAUUCUCUACAGCGCACUAGUUAUCACUCUAAAGCUUAAAGAAAUCCAAAGCUUGCCUCUAAUUGAAUGGCCAUGUCUUUCUCUACAGCACAGUUAUCACUCUAAAGCUUAAAGAAAUCAGUCUGACUCUAAUUGAAUGGCCAGACAAGGCCAGGGCCACUAAGAGAUUGUUUGAAAUUGAAUGGACUAAGAAGUGGGCACCAACUAUAAACUCCAAUACUACUACUCUUGCAAAGAUAUUGGGUGAGAAGAGGAUUGGUGUAAUUUGUUUCUCAGAUGGAUAAAGAAUGGCUGCAAUUUAACAGGUUGAGCAUAUAUAACUUGAGAGAGUAUUAGGUUUUGAGUACUAUUAAAUUUAUUGUUUCUAUUAAAUAAAAAUUUAUUAUAGAUUUUCAGAUGAAUACAGAAAGGGAGCACGUCAAUUUGUCAAUGUAGCACAAAGACAUGCGGGAAACUUAGAUAUUAUAGUAUGCCCUUGUUUGGAAUGCAGAAACCUACAACAUCACCACUUUAAUUUAGUAUAUGAACACUUGGUCAUAAAAGGCAUGGAUCCUGCCUAUACCACUUGGGUUUUCCAUGGUGAAAGUCCAAGUGAUGAUGUUCAAUAUGAAGAUGUGGAAAUGCCCGAGGCAAAUAGGUUGUACCAUGACUUUUAUUUCCAAGAUGAUGAA